rnacentral:rRNA from 1 species
UACGUAGGGUGCAAGCGUUGUCCGGAAUUAUUGGGCGUAAAGAGCUCGUAGGCGGUCUGUCGCGUCUGCUGUGAAAACUCAGGGCUUAACCCUGAGCUUGCAGUGGGUACGGGCAGACUAGAGUGCGGUAGGGGAGACUGGAAUUCCUGGUGUAGCGGUGAAAUGCGCAGAUAUCAGGAGGAACACCGGUGGCGAAGGCGGGUCUCUGGGACCGUAACUGACGCUGGAGGAGCGAAAGCAUGGGAGCGAACAGG